rnacentral:lncRNA from 1 species
CUAUAUGAAUGAAGACGACGGCGGCAGUUCUUACUAACAUGAGUAUCGUUUAAUGAAGCAGCGAGACUGACCGAGGUGGUGACAGGUGGCGCUCCCAGUAUCUCUGUGACGUGACUCACGGUGAACACAAUGAAGUCCCUCGUGAGCGCAGAUAAGAUAGCAGGCGCGUCGGAUAUAAGAGCGCGCUCCGGGCCGCUGCCGCCGUGCGCCGGCCACCUAUUCCGCGUGUCCAGGCUUCAGCCGCGCUCGUCACUACAGCGUAUACAGUCCCGCUGCGUGCGGCGUCAGCGCGCGUCGCCUGUCUCCACUGCCGCUGCGGAUCAUAUUCAGCAACUGUGACUAUGUGUGCCUAUGUACUUUCCCAAAAGAGCUGUAGAUAUGCUGUACACUGUCUGCCAAUACCUACACGAUAAUUCACUUCGGACAUGUUGACAUCUAUUUGAAACUUGUGCUGAAACUGUAUCCUUCGUCAUCAUCAGCCUUUUUGUAUGUUUCGUAUCCUUAAUUGGCUCUUAUUAAACAGUUAGUGUUUAGGUGUUUAACGAGUUUGAUAGCGCGAUGCAGGCCGCUCCGUCUAUGACCCAUUUUAUUGACAUUUAUUUGAAUAUGGACAUAGUUUAGGUGCAAUUUUGCAUAAAUUCUGAAUGGUCAAGAUUCCGCCAGCCAAUGAGGUGAUCAAUGCACGCUGCACCGCGUCGAGCCAACAUGCGUCAGUCGACCGGGGGACGAGACAGUGAACUAACAAGGAAGUAUCCCUCACCAGUGGACUGAUACUAAGUGUAAUGAUCGUUCGGUUGCCUCGUGUGGGUAAUAAACCAGACCGGGCGUUGGUAAUGGCGGUUCAGUCCCAGCACCUGAAUCCCUGAAGCCAGUCUUCAACACUAGAUAUGGAUGUUUGUUCCUAUAUUACGCAAAAAAGUGGAUGGAUUUUCGAAACUUGGCAGUAAUACAUAUAGCUCAAUAUAUAAAAUAUACUUAGCAUAUCAACUUAAAUAUGAGUAGGUACCUACUUUUAUCCCAGUGCGGGAAAUAGGUCUGUCGGGAUGUGGGUGAAACCGCGGGAGGAUGCUACUCUGUAAUAGGUAAAUGUUAUGAUUAAAAUAUAAGCCGAAUGAAUAGAACAACCAAAAUGAGAUACCUAAGUAGGUAAUUAGUGCAAUGAGUAUUUGUUUGUUGGAAUUCUGUAGUACGAAGUACUGUAGUCUAAAUACAAAUUGGUUUAAUUAAUUAUAUUUUUGUUCUGGCCGGACAGUAGUUAAACGGUCUUUACAAAAAAGAACAUUAGAUACCUAGGUGUGUUAUUAGAUGUUUAUAUUGAAGAAGUCUCUUUGUCCAAUGCGUAAAAUAAAUAAAGUUUGAACUUAAUAA